ACUCGUUGGUCGCCUGUUUGGUGCGACGAAGCCGCUGGUGGCCGGCUUUGUUGCUCCUUGAAGCCGCGCCCCAGUGCAGCCAGUGCUGUAGAAAUGGGAAGGCGGACGGCGAAGGCUGUUCUAGCUGGGGCGGGUGGAAGCGGGACGCCUGGCGGCUCCUGGGGUGGGGCUAUGGUUGUGGGACCUAGGGUUCGCGCUGUCCCAGGGGGACCGGGCGGGGCCCAGCCGGGAUGCUCUCUGGGCCUCUACUGCCCUCUGCAGGGCGUCGGAGGAACUGCCCAGAGGGGUCACUGCUGAGGAGCGGAACUCGGUGCAGAUAAAGGUUCUCAAGGGACCCCUCCGCCGGGAUGCCGCUCAGCGCCCCUCCACUCAAGAGAAAUAAACCCGCGAAUCUCGUUAAUGUGAAUGUUAAAGGCAGCCUUGAAGGAAAAAAGAAAAGGAUGGAAGAACUGGAGCAAGGCCUGUUGAUGCAGCCAUGGGCGUGGCUACAGCUUGCAGAGAACUCCCUCUUGGCCAAGGUUUUUAUCACCAAGCAGGGCUAUGCCUUGUUGGUUUCAGAUCUUCAACAGGUGUGGCAUGAACAGGUGGACACUAGUGUGGUCAGCCAGCGAGCCAAGGAGCUGAACAAGCGGCUCACUGCUCCUCCUGCAGCUUUCCUCUGUCAUUUGGAUAAUCUCCUUCGCCCAUUGUUGAAGGACGCUGCUCACCCUAGCGAAGCUACCUUCUCCUGUGAUUGUGUGGCAGAUGCACUGAUUCUACGGGUGCGAAGUGAGCUCUCUGGCCUCCCCUUCUAUUGGAAUUUCCACUGCAUCCUAGCUAAUCCUUCCCUGGUCUCCCAACAUUUGAUUCGUCCUCUGAUGGGCAUGAGUCUGGCAUUACAGUGCCAAGUGAGGGAGCUAGCAACGUUACUUCAUAUGAAAGACCUAGAGAUCCAAGACUACCAGGAGAGUGGGGCUACGCUGAUUCGAGAUCGAUUGAAGACAGAACCAUUUGAAGAAAAUUCCUUCUUGGAACAAUUUAUGAUAGAGUUAAAAGAUAUACCCAUCAAAACUGGAGACCCGGCAUAUUGGCCUAGAACUCUACACGCUGCAUUGGUCUCUUUUUAUCAUGAAACUGCCAGAGGCAUGCAGCAUUGGUGAUGGAAAGCCCUUUGUCAUGAAUCUGCAGAAUCUGUAUAUGGCAGUCACCAAACAAGAGGUCCAAGUGGGACAGAAGCAUCAAGGCACUGGAGAUCCUCAUACCUCAAACAGUGCUUCCCUGCAAGGAAUCGAUAGCCAAUGUGUAAACCAGCCAGAACAACUGGUCUCCUCAGCCCCAACCCUCUCAGCACCUGAGAAAGAGUCCACGGGUACUUCAGGCCCUCUGCAGAGACCUCAGCUGUCAAAGGUCAAGAGGAAGAAGCCAAGGGGUCUCUUCAGUUAAUCUGUUGUGGCCUCAGCUGCUGAGGAUGGACUUGGAGAAUAGCUUCCAAGCUUCACCUUGAAAGAAGCUUACGUGGCAGCAAUAUUUCUAAAAUAGUGAUACAGUCAGAGGCCUCCUGUAAGGGCGAGAGAACUGAAGUUCAUGUUGACAGGCCCACAGGGAAUUGGCCUUCCCUGUUCAAGUGGAAGCCAGUCUCUGAGAAUCCCGUGCUCUCCUCUCUUUUGGUGGAGGUUCUGUAGGUUCAGGUUUCUAUCAUGGACUUUAGGUAUAUAGGGCAAGUCAGCAAGAAAGCACCACACACUCAGGAAGCCUUGUCUACCUUUCCCUAGCGUCUCUAGCCAGCCAGCCCCAGAUACUCCUCAGAGACCCACUUCUCUCUUUUGCAUGGAAUAAAAAGGACUCACAGUCCCUGCUUUUGGGAUUACUUAUGCUGUGGAACUCAUAACCCAAUUCACUUCCUUCACUGGGUCCCACCCCAUUGUUGUCUCUGGAUGAAGUCUAGCCAUCACUCCGGUCCUUCAGAUUCUUCAUAAACUUUUCUGCAGUUGCCAGAGCUAAGUCUCCAUUUGGAAACUUCGAUCUCAAGAACUCUCUUGAUGGUGGGCACAAGACAGAUAGAUGAUUGCUGCUUUCCUUUGCCAAACUUGGAUGCAUUUUUCUCUUUGUUUCCAAAGUAUAGGCAACAGGUUAAACUACCACGUGGGGUAGUUUAUCGAUCCUCCCGCCUCAUCCUUCUGCAUAACUGGGACUAAAGGCACACACCACCACACCUAGCUAAUUUUUGUAUUUUUGUGUGUGUGGAGACAAGGCUUUGCCAUGUUGCCCAGGCUGGUCUUGAACUCCUGGACUCUAGUGAUCUGCCCACCUCAACCUCCCCAAGUGCUGGGAUUACAGGCAUGAGCUACCAAGCCUAUCCCAUUUCUGGUUUAUUUACUUUUGAUGGUUAAAUGCCUCCUUAUUCAAAUAUCCUGUAUAUAUACUGGUGUUUCUGUCCUGAUGUCAAGUCUCGAGAGAAGAUGAUCAAACAAUAAUAAAAUAAUUAUAAUAAGAACAACAAUAAUAAA